rnacentral:rRNA from 1 species
GACGAACGCUGGCGGCGUGCCUAAUACAUGCAAGUAGAACGCUGAAGAGAGGAGCUUGCUCUUCUUGGAUGAGUUGCGAACGGGUGAGUAACGCGUAGGUAACCUGCCUUGUAGCGGGGGAUAACUAUUGGAAACGAUAGCUAAUACCGCAUAACAAUGGAUGACACAUGUCAUUUACUUGAAAGGGGCAAUUGUUCCACUACAAGAUGGACCUGCGUUGUAUUAGCUAGUAGGUGAGGUAAUGGCUCACCUAGGCGACGAUACAUAGCCGACCUGAGAGGGUGAUCGGCCACACUGGGACUGAGACACGGCCCAGACUCCUACGGGAGGCAGCAGUAGGGAAUCUUCGGCAAUGGGGGCAACCCUGACCGAGCAACGCCGCGUGAGUGAAGAAGGUUUUCGGAUCGUAAAGCUCUGUUGUAAGUCAAGAACGGGUGUGAGAGUGGAAAGUUCACACUGUGACGGUAGCUUACCAGAAAGGGACGGCUAACUACGUG